CUCUGUGACUGGCUUGCUUGAUAGUUAGGGUCUGAUUGCUGCCUGAGACACCAUAUCGGUACUCCUCAGAGUUGAUGCAUAGUGUUCAUAUGAGGAGAGACUUUCCCUUGUCUCCGUCAUCUGUGAUUUCACUUCCCUGACAGAAGACGAAGCUUCCAUCUCAGAUGUUUUCUUAAAUGAUGAAACAGCAUACGCCUCUGUUCUUGUCAGCUCAGGGAAAACAGAUCUGGGGACCUCUUCAUCUCUGCGUCGGGAAGCAUAGGUGGUAUAAUCCCCUCCUGUUACGUCCAGCGUUGCAUAGUCAGAAGCUUCGCCCUUGUAGUUGGUGCACACAGCACGGUGAUCACAGGAUCUGGUUUGCCACUGAAAGGAAUCUUGAUGCUGACCACUUCACCUCGGAGAGCAUGAACUGCUCCCAUGCCUUCAAGAGUUUUAGGAUGGCAUCAACUGUUCCAAAAACAUUGCUGAGCUGGACUUUGUAUUUCCCAGCAUGAGUCUUACGUUGGACAUUCUUCAUGACAAGUGGGUAACCAGGAUGGAACUGUGGUGUUGCUUGCAGGAGAAGCUUACUACUGGUUUCUACUUCUCCAACCUCAUUGGUGGCUAUGCAGGCACUGUCUCCAGACUGUCUAUAUUCAACCCAGUAUCCAAGAAUUUCUUUGCCACCAUCACAUUCAGGUUUCUCCCACUGUAGAGUGACACUAUCUUUGGAUAUUGAAAGAAUCUCAAGUUCUCCUGGUUGG
rnacentral:antisense_RNA from 1 species